rnacentral:tRNA from 2 species
GUUCUUAUAGUUAAAUGAUAACAAUGGUUUUUCAGCUCAUUAUUCUUGGUUAAAGUCCAUGUAAGAAUU